CUUCAGCAUGGCAGGAAAAUCCUCGUGGGAGGCUGCGAACGCUUCGAUGCGAUUCUUCACAGAACCAAGAACCUGGGGUGUAGCAAACAGCUGAAGAAGUACCUGAAGCAGUGACUUGACGCUGGGCUGGAAGACCAUGUUGGUGUUGAGCAGGAAGGAACGCAGGAGAGGCUGAGGAUAACAGGCCAGCUGAGCCACGAUGCCCGUGAGCAGGAUGUUGACAUAUAGUCUGUAGAGCACAACAAAUGGAAGAUUUCUCCGCCUGCCACUCCCUUUACCAAGCAUGUCAGAGAAGUACAAUGGCCUCAGGAAACCAAAAAAAAAGAAAACGACCCUGUGCAGUCCAUGUCUGUUCUCUACACCCUUUGUUGGGUAAGCAUUUUUCACACUUAUUAAGGAUUACCUUCAGAGGUUUACUGAUGCUGGUGAUAAAAAGAAUCAGUUACGGUCAAAUGCAGUUGAUUUUUAGGCAAAUUGGCCUUAAAAAUAUGUGCAGCUUUUACAAAUACAAAUGAACGCUAAUUUAUCACUUUGGAGCAGGUUUAUUGGUCAUACUUAUAAAAACUUCUCUUUUGCAUUUGACCAGUAGGCUGAAAUUCACACCAACCAGGGACAGAGGGAGUUUUCCUGGGUCUUAAAACAAGCCCUUUUGUACCUCUGGUACUGGAGCAAUACAAUAGGAAAGACUGUACACAAUAACAUACCAACAGCAGAGAAAGGAGCUCCAACACACCUGAGAACAAGCUGCAGCAUGAUGUCUUCACAGUGCAGGGAGAGCAGGGUCCUGAAGAGACUCAGUGAAACCAUGCAGAGCUGUAACACACAAACAGAUGGAAAGUGCUUUAAAGA